rnacentral:rRNA from 1 species
UUUGAAGAGAGGGUUCAAUAGUACGUGAAACUGCUCAGAGGUAAACGGGUGGGCCCUCGAAGUCCUGUGGCGGGAGGAUUCAGUCGAAAGGCGGGCGCGUGCGUGCGGGCGGUGUGAUCGUGGUCCCCCGUCCCGGGGGGUCAAUCCGCCCGCGUCACGACGCAGGCCGGCCGACGCAUUUCUUUCCCGUCUGAAGGAAGCCGCAAUCGGUUGGGGGACUGCCUUAAGGAUUGGUGACGGAAGGUUGCCGACGGCUUCCCCUGUGGGAUUUCGCCGGUGUUAUAGCCGACCAGUCGCACGGCGGGUACCCCGACCGUGGUGUCACGAGGCCCUGAUGGGCUUUUCCGUCUCCUCUGUAAAAUGAUCGCGGUGUCGUCGGCGGCAGGGGGCUGACGGGUCUGCAGGCACACCGGUUCCUCCGGUGGCCACGCGGAUCCUCGCCCUCGUUGGCUGCCCGUGUAGCCGUUGGAGGCCGAUGGUUAGCGGCGAGUAGGUCGGUCACCCACCCGACCC